GCACUUCUGUAGGAACUAGAGGCUGAUGGAGGCUGGAAGGAAGGAGAAGACAUGUAUACACAGUAUGCACAGAUCAGAUCCAAAUCCCAAGUGGAGAAUACAUAAGCAACAUCAAGAAGAUCUUAUCCAUGCUUACAGAAGACAUACAUGCCUGGUGGAAAGGCUCUCCUAGGAGCUUGGGAGACAAAGUUCAAAAAAUUCUUCCAAGUGACUCCUUGGGAAUCUGGUUGAAGUAAAUCUUAAGAAACUGUUCUAAGGCCUGGUUACCAGAAUCACCUGGAAGCACCCCAAGAGCCCCCUGUAUCUGCAGAGGCCCUGGGAUGUGGACGGAAGUUUCUGUCCUGCCUGGUCCCAUAGCUGUUUAGUCACAAAUAAACACACUGAGGCUUAUAUUAUUUAUAAUCUGUUUGCCUGAUGGCUCAGGCUUCUUAUUGGCUAGCUCUCUCUUAAUUAUUAACCGAUUUCUAUUAAUCUAUGUAUCUCCACGUGGUCUUGGCUUACCAAAGAAUGCUCGGGUAGCUACAUGGCAUCUCCCUAGAGACUCACCUCUGUUCCUCUUCCCAUAAUUCUCCUCAUCUGGUAGCCCUGCCUGUACUUCCUGCCUGGCUACAUCCUGCCUAUCCAUUGUCUGAAACAGCUUUAUUCAUCAUCCAAUAAGAGAAACAUAUAUUCACACUGUACAGAAGGACCUUUCCCAUCUGGUAAGAGCUGGGGAGCUUGUCUUAAAGCCAGCCUGCAGAGUAGCCACAUAGGCCCUGCUGAAGCUCUGCAGGGCCUGUAAGUGCUGACUGAAAGAGCUGAAAGAGCCGCAAGUUAAGACCUAACCAGCAUCUCUUCCUACAACUAUGACAGGAGGAAGUUUCUCUGGGCCUCCAUACUCUGAUGAGAAGUGUCUGUCUGUUCCUUCCAGAAGACUUGAUACAGAGAAGCCUCCAGCCACAGUUACCCAUAAUGGAAACCGAAGCAAGGAACCCAGGAACAGAAGAACCCAACGGGAUGGCAAAGAUGUUCCUUUUGAGUGGAAAACUGGAUCAACUCAAGAGGAAGGCAAUUGCCACACACAGACUUCACCAACUCUGAGCUCAUCAGGGGAGAAUCUUUCCCAGACUUCAGUCUCAAGGAGAGGCAGGCAACCCAGGAUCUCGUCCAUCCCAAGACUACAGAACUCUAGCAAACUGUACUGUUGCAUCUCAGAGUUGUGAAGACAAAUGGGAGACCCAAGCAGGGAAAAGAAAUUUGAAAACUAGCCAUCUGAGCGGAAUCCAGCCUCCUGACUGCCCUGGUUCUGGCUGCCCACAGUGAAUGUGGUCGCUGCAUCACUGGUCCAGGUC
rnacentral:lncRNA from 1 species